rnacentral:rRNA from 1 species
AACGAACGCUGGCGGCGUGUCUUAAGCAUGCAAGUCGAGCGGCAAGCGCAGCAAUGCGCCUAGAGUGGCGGCCUGGUGAGUAACGCGGGGGUGAUCUACCUCGGGGUUGGGGAUAGCCAUUAGAAAUCGUGGGUAAUCCCGACUACGAUUGUCGGGCGACGGUCCGAUCAGGAAAGGCGCUACGGCGCCGACCUGAGCUGAGUCCGCGUCCCAUUAGCUAGUUGGCGGGGUAACGGCCCACCAAGGCGAUGAUGGGUAGCCGGCCUGAGAGGGUGUACGGCCACACUGGGACUGAGAUACGGCCCAGACUCCUACGGGAGGCAGCAGCUAAGAAUAUUUCGCAAUGGACGAAAGUCUGACGGAGCGACGCCGCGUGGAUGAUGAAGGCCGGAAGGUUGUAAAAUCCUUUUGUCGGGGAAGAAUAAGCGUGGGAGGGAAUGCCCGCGCGAUGACAUGAACCGGCGAAUAAGCCCCGGCUAACUACGUGCCAGCCGCCGCAGUAA